CCUACGGGGGGCAGCAGUGGGGGAUAUUGGACAAUGGGGGGAACCCUGAUCCAGCGACGCCGCGUGAGUGAAGAAGUAUCUCGGUAUGUAAAGCUCUAUCAGCAGGGAAGAAGAAAUGACGGUACCUGAGUAAGAAGCCCCGGCUAACUACGUGCCAGCAGCCGCGGUGAUACAUAGGGGGCAAGCGUUGUCCGGAAUGACUGGGGGUAAAGGGGGUGUAGGUGGUUUAUUAAGUUAGUGGUGAAAGCCCGAAGCGCAACUUCGGAACUGCCUUUAAAACUGGUUGGCUUGAGUGUGGGAGAGGUUAGUGGAACUCCUAGUGUAGCGGUGGAAUGCGUAGAUAUUAGGAAGAACAUCAGAGGCGAAGGCGACUAACUGGAACAUUACUGACACUGAAACACGAAAGCGUGGGGAGCAAACAGGAUUAGAUACCCCGGUAGUC
rnacentral:rRNA from 1 species